CUGGGCUCGAACGGCUGGUCAACGAUCGUGGAAACACGGUUACUCCGCAAGGGGGUCCAGUCGAGGUGCUGCAUGGCUGUCGUCAGCUCGUGUCGUGAGAUGUUGGGUUAAGUCCCGCAACGAGCGCAACCCUCGUCCUGUGUUGCCAUCAUUCAGUUGGGAACUCGCAGGAGACCGCCAGCGAUAAGCUGGAGGAAGGUGGGGAUGACGUCAAGUCCUCAUGGCCUUUAUGUCCAGGGCUACACACGUGCUACAAUGGCCGGUACAAUGCGCUGCUAAGUCGCAAGACGGAGCCAAUCGCAAAAAACCGGUCUCAGUUCGGAUUGCAGGCUGCAACUCGCCUGCAUGAAGCUGGAAUCGCUAGUAAUGGCAUAUCAGAACGAUGCCGUGAAUACGUUCCC
rnacentral:rRNA from 1 species